rnacentral:lncRNA from 1 species
ACAAUGCAAAGUUAAACAAAACACCAGCCGGGUACUCAGGCCUGGGCCCACCAAAGAAGAAAUAAAGACAUAAUGAUAUCUUAUAGUGAAAUCAACCUUCAGAAACAAAGGUAUUUAAAAUUACCAAGUGACCCUUUUGGGGUCUACAACACUUACCAGACCUUAAGAAAGCGGAAGACGGAGAGACGACUGCAUCAGGAAAUGACUUAAUCGUCUUUUUGGCAGACCAGAAUGCACCCUAUUUUAAACCCAAAGUAAAGGUAUCUUUCAAGAAUCACAGUGCAUUGAUAACAAGUGUAGUCCCUGGGGAUUAUGAUGGAGAUUCUCAAAUGGAUGUCCUUCUGACAUAUCUUCCCAAAAAUUAUGCCAAGAGUGAAUUAGGAGCUGUUAUCUUCUGGGGACAAAAUCAAACAUUAGAUCCUAACAAUAUGACCAUACUCAAUAGGACUUUUCAAGAUGAGCCACUAAUUAUGGAUUUCAAUGGUGAUCUAAUUCCUGAUAUUUUUGGUAUCACAAAUGAAUCCAACCAGCCACAGAUACUAUUAGGAGG